ACGGGGAGCAGCAGGCGCGAAACCUUUACACUGCACGACAGUGCGAUAGGGGGAUCCCAAGUGCACGGGCAUAGCGCCUGUGCUUUUCGGUACCGUAAGGUGGUACCAGAAUAAGGGCUGGGCAAGACCGGUGCCAGCCGCCGCGGUAAUACCGGCAGCCCAAGUGAUGGCCGAUCUUAUUGGGCCUAAAGCGUCCGUAGCUGGCCGCGCAAGUCCAUCGGGAAAUCCACCUGCUCAACAGGUGGGCGCCCGGUAGAAACUGCGUGGCUUGGGACCGGAAGGCGCGACGGGUACGUCCGGGGUAGGAGUGAAAUCCCGUAAUCCUGGACGGACCGCCGAUGGCGAAAGCACGUCGCGAGGACGGAUCCGACAGUGAGGGACGAAAGCCAGGGUCUCGAACCGGAUUAGAUACCCGGGUAGUCCUGGCCGUAAACAAUGUCUGCUAGGUGUGGCUCCCACUACGAGUGGGUGCUGUGCCGUAGGGAAGCCGCUAAGCAGACCGCCUGGGAAGUACGUCCGCAAGGAUGAAACUCAAAUGAAUUGACGG
rnacentral:rRNA from 1 species